rnacentral:rRNA from 1 species
GCCUAAUACAUGCAAGUCGAACGAGAUCCUUCGGGGUCUAGUGGCGCACGGGUGCGUAACGCGUGGGAAUCUGCCCUUGGGUUCGGAAUAACGUUUGGAAACGAACGCUGAUACCGGAUGAUGACGAAAGUCCAAAGAUUUAUCGCCCAGGGAUGAGCCCGCGUAGGAUUAGCUAGUUGGUAAGGUAAAGGCUUACCAAGGCGACGAUCCUUAGCUGGUCUGAGAGGAUGAUCAGCCACACUGGGACUGAGACACGGCCCAGACUCCUACGGGAGGCAGCAGUAGGGAAUAUUGGACAAUGGGGGCAACCCUGAUCCAGCAAUGCCGCGUGAGUGAUGAAGGCCUUAGGGUUGUAAAGCUCUUUUACCCGGGAUGAUAAUGACAGUACCGGGAGAAUAAGCCCCGGCUAACUCCG